rnacentral:rRNA from 1 species
UACGAAGGGGGCUAGCGUUGCUCGGAAUACUGGGCGUAAAGCGCACGCAGGCGGUCUGCUAAGUUUGGAGUGACAGUUGGUGGCUUAACUGCCAAAGUGCUUCGAAAACUGACAGACUUGAGGGCUUCAGAGGGACACGGAAUUCCGGGUGGAGUGGUGAAAUGCGUAGAGAUCCGGAAGAACACCGGUGGCGAAGGCGGUUAGCUGGGCAGUUGCUGACACUGGAGGCGACGACAGCGUGGGGAGCAAACAGG